UACGGGGGGGCAAGCGUUGUUCGGAAUUACUGGGCGUAAAGGGCGCGUAGGCGGUUCGCUAAGUUGGAUGUGAAAACUCGGGGCUUAACCCCGGGCCUGCAGUGGGUACGGGCAGACUAGAGUGCGGUAGGGGAGACUGGAAUUCCUGGUGUAGCGGUGAAAUGACGCAGAUAUCAGGAGGAACACCGGUGGCGAAGGCGGGUCUCUGGGCCGUAACUGACGCUGGAGGGAGCGAAAGCGUGGGGAGCGAACAGGA
rnacentral:rRNA from 1 species